CCUACGGGCGGCAGCAGUAGGGGAUAUUGCACAAUGGGGGAAACCCUGAUGCAGCGACGCCGCGUGUGGGAAGACGGUCCUCUGGAUUGUAAACCACUGUCCCCAGGGACGAAGAUGAAGGUACCUGGGGAGGAAGCUUCGGCUAACCACGUGCCAGCAGCCGCGGUAAUACGUAGGGAGCGAGCGGUGUCCGGAAUUACUGGGUGAAAGGGGAGCGUAGGCGGUGAUGCAAGUUGGGUGUCAAGACUACGGGCUAAACUGGUAGUCGCACUCAAAACUGCAGCUCUUGAGUGAAGUAGAGGCAGGCAGAAUUCCUGGUGUAGCGGUGAAAUGCGUAGAUAUUAGGAGGAACACCAGUGGCGAAGGCGGCCGGCUGGACUUUUACUGACGCUGAGGCUCGAAAGUGUGGGGAGCAAACAGGAUUAGAUACCCGAGUAGUC
rnacentral:rRNA from 1 species